AGUGAUCAUUACAGAGUCCCCAUGAGCCACACACUUGACCAGCUCCUGGAGUCACCCUCUUGGGUUUCCAUGGCUUUAUAUUGCUCCACUGGCCACAUGUAAGAAGGUUCCUGAGCGAGGCAGAAGGAGGUUACAACGCUAAAGGAGUAGCGAGUGCACAACCAGUGGGGCUUUGCUGAAGGACUCUUGCCGCGCUUGGCUUCUAGAGAAUAACAAUUCAGAAAACAGCCCUGCUUUCCUUCAAGUGAAAGACAAUUCUCCUCUAGGGAGAAAAGGAAGAAGAUGGGUCAAGAUCAAAGUCGCCUCACUUCUCUGAGGGAGAUUUUGGAUGUUCGUAUAAGGUUGUAGUUGAGUCAUCUGCCUGUGGUUGAUAUUCUUAGAUAAACCUGGUGUGUGUGUGUCCUGUGUGUACAUAUUCCCUGCCUCCCUCAAACCAUGGGAGUAAUUUUUUAUUCCAGGGUUUUUUUUUGCAGUUUCUCAGGUUAUUUGAGAAAUAUUAAAAUAGAUGCUUUUUAAAUAUCUUAAGUGGAGCAGUAGGCUAGACCAUUCAUACAUAAUCAGGUUUCUUUUCUUCUUUUUUUUUUUAAACAAUGGACAUUAUUAAAUACUUCACUCAGGCCAGCUCGGUGCACUGCCAUAGAUGUCUGACUCAGGCCCACUUACCCCUUUGCAUCUGUUUUCACCACUAGCUAAAUAUGUCAUAUAGUUUUAGGGUGGGAGGUCUAGGUUCUAUUUUUAAUCCUGGGGCAGGGAACAAGCUACAGGGGACAGGUUGAAGAUGUGAAGGGGGGAGGUCAGGAUCCUGGUGGAGGAUAUCUAAGAUACCAAAUGGGAUGUAUGCUGUUUCCUAGAUGUGCCAUUGGCCAGGACAGAGAGCACUGCGUAUUAAACACAUCCCUAUGGAGAUCGAUAUGAUAGAGGGAAGUUCUGCAAUGACUUCUGCUAAAUUACCACCUUUCAGGUAGAAAAAUGUCCAAAACAAAAGGAGAAGCAUGGAUAGGAAGAGGCAGAUAAUAGAAAAAUCAUUAUGAAUCAUCUUCCACUUGUAAGCAUCUAACUCUGCUUUGGCCAGUAUAAGCCCAAAGCGAGAAUGAACUGUCUCUGACAAAGAAAGGACUCUUAAAAAAGAAAAGGAAAAGAAAAUGGAAAUAAAAUGCAAAAAUGGUUAAAAAAAAUGAAUCUG
rnacentral:lncRNA from 1 species